rnacentral:rRNA from 1 species
UACGUAGGUGGCAAGCGUUAUCCGGAUUUAUUGGGCGUAAAGAGAACGCAGGCGGUCUUUUAAGUCUGAUGUGAAAGCCUUCGGCUUAACCGGAGUAGUGCAUUGGUAACUGGGAGACUUGAGUGCAGAAGAGGAGAGUGGAACUCCAUGUGUAGCGGUGAAAUGCGUAGAUAUAUGGAAGAACACCAGUGGCGAAAGCGGCUCUCUGGUCUGUAACUGACGCUGAGGUUCGAAAGCGUGGGUAGCAAACAGG